GGGAUUCUCUAGUUUUAAUAAGAUAAAUUUUGAUUUAUUUUAAUCUUUCGCUGCCUGAUCUCGAAAAAUAUUUCAAGAUCUAAUCUUGAAACCCUAAAUCUGGUUCCUUCAGUGCUAUAUGAUCUUUUUCAUGAAGAUGAAUAAUAAAAAAAAUUUAAAACUUUAUUUUAGAUCUAAUUUACUAUAUCUUAGAUCUGAAAUUAGAGUUUAGAUGUUUGUAUGAUAGUUUGUAAAAAUGUU
rnacentral:lncRNA from 1 species